ACGCUUUUUCUUCACCGGAGCUUGCUCCAUCGAAAGAAAAAGAGUGGCGAACGGGUGAGUAACACGUGGGUAACCUGCCCAUCAGAAGGGGAUAACACUUGGAAACAGGUGCUAAUACCGUAUAACAUUAUUUUCCGCAUGGAAGAAAGUUGAAAGGCGCUUUUGCGUCACUGAUGGAUGGACCCGCGGUGCAUUAGCUAGUUGGUGAGGUAACGGCUCACCAAGGCACGAUGCAUAGCCGACCUGAGAGGGUGAUUGGCCACCCUGGGAAUGAGACACGGCCCAGACUCCUACGGGAGGCAGCAGUAGGGAAUCUUCGGCAAUGGACGAAAG
rnacentral:rRNA from 1 species